GACGUAGGGCGCAAGCGUUGUCCGGAUUUAUUGGGCGUAAAGAGCUCGUAGGCGGUUCGGCAAGUCGAAUGUGAAAUCUCCACGCUCAACGUGGAGGGGUCAUUCGAUACUGCCGUGACUUGAGUACGGUAGGGGAGUGUGGAAUUCUCGGUGUAGCGGUGAAAUGCGUAGAUAUCGAGAGGAACACCUGCGGCGAAGGCGGGUUGCUGGGCUGAUACUGACGCUGAUGCGCGAAAGCCAGGGGAGCGAACGGG
rnacentral:rRNA from 1 species